rnacentral:lncRNA from 1 species
GAAAUCAAGACCUCAUCAUCGUCAGCACCAUCGGAGACCCCUUGGCUACAAGGCGGAUUCAGAACUGCAGGCAGCUAAUUUGUCUAAAAGCCUUUCUCAGUUCAUAUUGCAGAAUUGGACCUCCGAAUUUGAGCAAACGCUUCGGGAGUUGAGAGCCGCUAUUAUCCAGAUUAACUCCAUGCACCUUGACCUGUCCUUGAUGGAGGGAUUGUUAUCAUGGAUCGCUUCAUCUGUCUCCUAUUUUAAGGAAUGGGUGGGGGUGGGACUUUUUUGGCAUAAUUCUCUGCAAUGGUAUGGUGUUUAUGCUUG